UGGGGAAUAUUGGACAAUGGGGGAAACCCUGAUCCAGCGAUGCCGCGUGUGUGAAGAAGGCCUGCGGGUUGUAACGCACUUUCAGUUGGGAAGAUAGUUUGUAGGGGAAUAUCCUGCAGAUGAGACGUUACUAACAAAAGAAGCACCGGCUAACUACGUGCCAGCAGCCGCGGUAAUACGUAGGGUGCAGGCGUUAAUCGGAAUUACUGGGCGUAAAGCGUGCGCAGGUGGCUCCUUAAGUCAGAUGUGAAAUCCCCGGGCUUAACCUGGGAACUGCGUUUGAAACUGAGGAGCUAGAGUGUGGAAGAGGGGGGUGGAAUUCCAGGUGUAGCAGUGAAAUGCGUAGAGAUCUGGAGGAACACCGAUGGCGAAGGCAGCCCCCUGGGCUAACACUGACGCUCAUGCACGAAAGCGUGGGGAGCAAACAGGAUUAGAUACCCCAGUAGUCCCUGAGCGGGC
rnacentral:rRNA from 1 species